rnacentral:rRNA from 1 species
UGAACGCUGGCGGCGUGCCUAAUACAUGCACGUCGAGCGAACAGACGAGGAGCUUGCUCCUCUGACGUUAGCGGCGGACGGGUGAGUAACACGUGGAUAACCUACCUAUAAGACUGGGAUAACUUCGGGAAACCGGAGCUAAUACCGGAUAAUAUAUUGAACCGCAUGGUUCAAUAGUGAAAGACGGUUUUGCUGUCACUUAUAGAUGGAUCCGCGCCGCAUUAGCUAGUUGGUAAGGUAACGGCUUACCAAGGCAACGAUGCGUAGCCGACCUGAGAGGGUGAUCGGCCACACUGGAACUGAGACACGGUCCAGACUCCUACGGGAGGCAGCAGUAGGGAAUCUUCCGCAAUGGGCGAAAGCCUGACGGAGCAACGCCGCGUGAGUGAUGAAGGUCUUCGGAUCGUAAAACUCUGUUAUUAGGGAGGAACAAAUGUGUAAGUAACUAUGCACGUCUUGACGGUACCUAAUCAGAAAGCCACGGCUAACUACGUG